rnacentral:misc_RNA from 1 species
AGCUAAGAGGGGUUUCAAGAAAUCAAAAUCUUACAGCAGUGAAGAUGAAUUUCAGGAUCUGCCUUUGAAAUCACUAAUCCGUCCUAGUAAGAAUCUAUCUAAGCUGAAAUCAACUUAUGUAGAAACACCUAUUGCUACUACUGAGCUACCUGAUUCUGCGUCCCCGAGCAUUUCGAGACCUGCUGGUAGUCAAGCAGUUGGUCGUAAACGUGUCCGCCUUGUUCUCUCUGAUGACGAAGAUGAUAAUGAGGAUGUAUACAGCUCCAGCAGGAUUGUUUCUACUCCUCUUGAGGGUGAAAUGGGCCAUUGCUCAGGAAAUAUCUCUCACAAGUGUUCUGUAGAAGCUGUUGCUACUUCUGAUGAGUUUAAAGACACAAAACAUCAGUGUAGUCUUUCUCAUGAACUGAAGGUAGUUUCACCAGUUGGUUCAGGAUGUGCUGUCAGUGCUUGUACCCCA